rnacentral:ncRNA from 1 species
UGCUAGGGGAGCUAUAUGCUGAGAGAAAUCAUUGAUUGAUACCCUUUGAACCUGAUCUGGUUGAUGCCAGCGUAGGGAAGCAG